rnacentral:rRNA from 1 species
CCUACGGGUGACAGCAGUGAGGAAUAUUGGUCAAUGGACGAGAGUCUGAACCAGCCAAGUAGCGUUAAGUAUGACUGCCCUAUGGUUUGUACACUUCUUUUAUAUGGGAAUAAAAUGUUCCACGUGUGGGAUUUUGUCUGUACCAUAUGCAUAAGGAUCGGCUAACUCCGUGCCAGCAGCCGCGGUAAUCCGGAGGAUCCGAGCGUUAUCCGGAUUUAUUGGGUUUAAAGGGAGCGUAGGUGGAUUGUUAAGUCAGUUGUGAAAGUUUGCGGCUCAACCGUAAAAUUGCAGUUGAAACUGGCAGUCUUGAGUACAGUAGAGGUGGGCGGAAUUCGUGGUGUAGCGGUGAAAUGCUUAGAUAGCACGAAGAACUCCGAUUGCGAAGGCAGUUCACUGGACUGCAACUGACACUGAGGCUCGAAAGUGUGGGUAUCAAACAGGAUUAGAUACCCGAGUAGUC